UGCAGUAAUUACUUAUAUGUGAAGGAGAGUGACCACAGUUUUGGUGCAUCACCAACUGAAGCAAGACGAUGUUUUGCUAAUUUUUCUCAGUGUGCAUUUAGUGUUAUAUUAUAUAUAAUAAUAGAAAAAUGUUCAAGAAACACUAUUGGUGAGAGGAAUUAUUUUUAUGGAGAACUGUGUAGCCUUGAAGAGGAGAUUGGGCCUUCUUAAAGAAAUCAAAGAGAACUACAAAAAUGGAUACUAAGGUAUUUACAGGAGCUUGAAGAAUAUGCAAGUGGAAUUCAAGAAGAUGGUCUAAAGAAGAACAAAUGUUUCCUUUGCUUAACUUCAAUGGCAAAAACCCGUAUAAUGAAAUUGGUGUUAUAAAAUCACAUACAACUUCCAUGAUAAGGUUGAAUAAAUCUAUUCCAUUUUGUUUUCUUGAAUGACUAUUUUUGCUAAUACAAAGUACUUUUCCUUUCCUUAUCUAUUGUAGUCAUACACUAUUUGUAUGAGAUGAAUUAAUUUGAUAAAAAUCCACAUAGUAGCCAUGAAGUCAAACACCUUGUUGAAUCAGGAUUAAAUAUCAUCAAGAUGUACGUAAAAUAUUUACCUAUGCAACAAAUCAUUCAAAUUUCAUCUUUAACCUCCGAAAACAAAAAAAAAAAAAAAAUUUGCAAGUAUUGUAAGAUAAAAAAGAGGAAGGCGUGUACAGAAGGUACAGAAUGCUUCCUCCUCAAUUUAUCCAUCGAUUAAAAACUUCUUUAUAAUAAUCCCCAUAUUCUUCAUAAACCUUGAACAUUGACGUUUAAGAUUCCUCUUUAUCAACCAAUAUUGGAGAUUGUUGAGGAAGAAGGGGAUUGUAAUUGAAGAAUUUUUUAAUGGAUAAAGAAAUUUAAGAGGGAGCUUGUAUAAUACCUUCUAUAUAUGAACUUUCUUUAUACCAUAAAAUACUGAUUUUUUUGUUUUUUGAGAGGUUAAUUAUGAAAG